AUUGAACGCUGGCGGCAUGCCUUACACAUGCAAGUCGAACGGCAGCACGGGUGCUUGCACCUGGUGGCGAGUGGCGAACGGGUGAGUAAUACAUCGGAACAUGUCCUGUAGUGGGGGAUAGCCCGGCGAAAGCCGGAUUAAUACCGCAUACGAUCUACGGAUGAAAGCGGGGGACCUUCGGGCCUCGCGCGAUAGGGUUGGCCGAUGGCUGAUUAGCUAGUUGGUGGGGUAAAGGCCUACCAAGGCGACGAUCAGUAGCUGGUCUGAGAGGACGACCAGCCACACUGGGACUGAGACACGGCCCAGACUCCUACGGGAGGCAGCAGUGGGGAAUUUUGGACAAUGGGCGAAAGCCUGAUCCAGCAAUGCCGCGUGUGUGAAGAAGGCCUUCGGGUUGUAAAGCACUUUUGUCCGGAAAGAAAUCCUUGGCCCUAAUACGGUCGGGGGAUGACGGUACCGGAAGAAUAAGCACCGGCUAACUACGUG
rnacentral:rRNA from 1 species